AACCCCCAAAAGGCCUCCUGGCUGCGGACACGUACUUCACAAGGUCUGGGAAAAACAGCAGCCCAUCCGGGGACGCCGGGCCCAGCCCCACAGGCUCCGUUUCACGCUCUCACCGGUAUGUCGGUAUGUCAGAAGGGCUGGGCUCCAGCCCCGCUCAGACCACUCUGCACUCUCACAGGCCGACCGUGCACAGAAAACUGGAACAUUCUCGCCACCCUCCCCCCACACCCCCAGAGGUGCGUCAGGAGCCCAGGGCUGGGAGAGCAUUGGGAAGCCACUGGCGACUUGACACCGUCUACAUUCUCUCUCAAGGGCACAUGUGGUUUGCUUUAAUGCUUUCAGCCGAAAGAAUGCUUUUGGGGAGAACCUCUCUUCUGCUGAGAGAGGUCCCCAAGCUGCUGUUCCACGUGUUGAAGGCCCUCUCGGGGCCCUUGUCUCAUCUCUCCCCCAGGUGGGCCUACAGAGGAGCCAGAACCCGGGGACAGUGAAGACAAGGACCGUUUGCGGACAUCAGCGACUGUCACCACCGAGGUCCUCGCCCUCCCUGUGCCUCUCUCCUGCCCGGACAGGGAACACUUUCUCAGACAGAGUGAUCAUUCAAUUAACUUCAAAACAGAUUUAGAACCUUUGGCAUUUACAAACCCACUCUGUAAUUAAAAGCACAAAUAAUUGAAGGCUUUCCAUUGUUCAAGAGCACCGGAAAAAUUAAUUCAAUUGUUUUGUUGUCGUUUUCUGUGUCAAGCUCAGUCUAGACAGAUUGGGAGGGGCACUAAAUACUUUGUCUGUUUUCUAACACUGUAAUGAGACUGUGAAUUUUAACACACUAAAAAUCCGUCAUGUCAACCCCUGAAAAGGAAUUUGAAGCCCUUCAAAAAUUGAGAAUUGAAAAUGCUCAAGCCUAGAAAUGUACUUUCUCAGCAUUUCGAGAAAAAAAAAAGUGUAUUUUUUGUCUAAUUGACUAAAGGUUUCUACCAGUAAGAGGAUUGUGUUUCUCUCAGGUUUAGUGUGAACUGAGAGCUUCUCUGAUAUCAUCCAAAUUCAAGACGUGCUCCUACUCCAGAUAAACCCAUGAACACACAGGUACCCGCACACACGGACCGGUCAUGUCCGUACGCGCACCAGAUCACCCACUGAACACUGGCGGAAAUCACCAAAAUUCCUCUCUCUCCCUGGUCUUCUUCCCUCCCAACAGAUUCUCUUCCUUUCCCAUGUACUCUGCUCUCUGCCCUCUCUGGGGGCGGGGGUGUGGGGUGGAUCAGCGCAGGGGGCCGCUGGAGCCCGG
rnacentral:lncRNA from 1 species